rnacentral:rRNA from 1 species
CGGGGUGCAGCAGGCGCGAAAACUUUACAAUGCCGGCAACGGCGAUAAGGGAACCUCGAGUGCCAGGUUACAAAUCUGGCUGUCGUGAUGCCUAAAAAGCAUUGCAUAGCAAGGGCCGGGCAAGACCGGUGCCAGCCGCCGCGGUAACACCGGCGGCUCGAGUGGUAACCGUUAUUAUUGGGUCUAAAGGGUCUGUAGCCGGCCGGGUAAGUCUCUUGGGAAAUCUGGCAGCUUAACUGUCAGGCUUUCAGGAGAUACUGCCUGGCUCGAGGCCGGGAGAGGUGAGAGGUACUUCAGGGGUAGGGGUGAAAUCUUGUAAUCCUUGAAGGACCACCAGUGGCGAAGGCGUCUCACCAGAACGGACCUGACGGCAAGGGACGAAAGCUAGGGGCACGAACCGGAUUAGAUACCCGGGUAGUCCUAGCCGUAAACGAUACUCGCUAGGUGUCGGCCACGGUGCGACCGUGGUCGGUGCCGUAGGGAAGCCGUGAAGCGAGCCACCUGGGAAGUACGGCCGCAAGGCUGAAACUUAAAGGAAUUGGCGGGGGAGCACAAGGG